rnacentral:rRNA from 1 species
GACGAACGCUGGCGGCGUGCUUAACACAUGCAAGUCGAACGGAAAGGCCCUGCUUUUGUGGGGUGCUCGAGUGGCGAACGGGUGAGUAACACGUGAGUAACCUGCCCUUGACUUUGGGAUAACUUCAGGAAACUGGGGCUAAUACCGGAUAGGAGCUCCUGCUGCAUGGUGGGGGUUGGAAAGUUUCGGCGGUUGGGGGUGGACUCGCGGCUUAUCAGCUUGUUGGUGGGGUAGUGGCUUACCAAGGCUUUGACGGGUAGCCGGCCUGAGAGGGUGACCGGCCACAUUGGGACUGAGAUACGGACCAGACUCCUACGGGAGGCAGCAGUGGGGAAUAUUGCACAAUGGGCGGAAGCCUGAUGCAGCAACGCCGCGUGCGGGAUGACGGCCUUCGGGUUGUAAACCGCUUUCGCCUGUGACGAAGCGUGAGUGACGGUAAUGGGUAAAGAAGCACCGGCUAACUACGUG